CAAGUCGAGGGGCAGCAUUUUGCUAGCAAUAGUAAAGAUGGCGACCGGCGCACGGGUGAGUAACACGUAUCCAACCUACCGUUAACUCGGGGAUAGCCUUUCGAAAGAAAGAUUAAUACUCGAUAGUAUAUGUUUCCCGCAUGAGAUACAUAUUAAAGAAUUUCGGUUAUCGAUGGGGAUGCGUUCCAUUAGGCAGUUGGUGAGGUAACGGCUCACCAAACCUUCGAUGGAUAGGGGUUCUGAGAGGAAGGUCCCCCACAUUGGAACUGAGACACGGUCCAAACUCCUACGGGAGGCAGCAGUGAGGAAUAUUGGUCAAUGGGCGUAGGCCUGAACCAGCCAAGUAGCGUGAAGGAUGACUGCCCUAUGGGUUGUAAACUUCUUUUAUAUGGGAAUAAAGUGAUCCACGUGUGGAUUUUUGUAUGUACCAUAUGAAUAAGGAUCGGCUAACUCCGUGCCAGCAGCCGCGGUAAUACGGAGGAUCCAAGCGUUAUCCGGAUUUAUUGGGUUUAAAGGGAGCGUAGGUGGAAGCCUAAGUCAGUUGUGAAAGUUUGCGGCUCAACCGUAAAAUUGCAGUUGAUACUGGGUUUCUUGAGUACAGUAGAGGUGGGCGGAAUUCGUGGUGUAGCGGUGAAAUGCUUAGAUAUCACGAAGAACUCCAAUUGCGAAGGCAGCUCACUAGACUGCAACUGACACUGAUGCUCGAAAGUGUGGGUAUCAAACAGGAUUAGAUACCCUGGUAGUCCACACGGUAAACGAUGAAUACUCGCUGUUUGCGAU
rnacentral:rRNA from 1 species